CUAGCCUUCGGGUUCGCAUUGUAAUUUGUAGAGGAUGAUUUGGGGAAGCCGCCUGUCUAAGUUCCUUGGAACAGGACGUCAUAGAGGGUGAGAAUCCCGUAUGUGACAGGAAAUGGCACCCUAUGUAAAUCUCCUUCGACGAGUCGAGUUGUUUGGGAAUGCAGCUCUAAAUGGGAGGUAAAUUUCUUCUAAAGCUAAAUAUUGGCGAGAGACCGAUAGCGCACAAGUAGAGUGAUCGAAAGAUGAAAAGCACUUUGGAAAGAGAGUUAAAAAGCACGUGAAAUUGUUGAAAGGGAAGCGCUUGCAAUCAGACUUGUUUAAACUGUUCGGCCGGUCUUCUGACCGGUUUACUCAGUUUGGACAGGCCAGCAUCAGUUUCGGCGGCCGGAUAAAGGCUCUGGGAAUGUGGCCUCCACUUCGGUGGAGGUGUUAUAGCCCAGGGUGUAAUACGGCCAGCCGG
rnacentral:rRNA from 1 species